UACGUAGGUGGCAAGCGUUGUUCGGAAUUAUUGGGCGUAAAGGGCGCGUAGGCGGCUUGUUAAGUCGGCUGUGAGAGCCCGGGGCUCAACCCCGGAGGGUCAGCCGAUACUGGCAGGCUAGAGUACGGAAGAGGUAGCUGGAAUUCCCGGUGUAGCGGUGAAAUGCGUAGAGAUCGGGAGGAACACCUGUGGCGAAGGCGGCUCGCUGGGCCGAUCCUGACGCUGAGACGCGAAGGCGUGGGGAGCGAACGGG
rnacentral:rRNA from 1 species